AUUCCGGUUGAUCCUGCCGGAGGCCAUUGCUAUCGGGGUCCGAUUUAGCCAUGCUAGUCGCACGAGUUCAUACUCGUGGCGGAAAGCUCAGUAACACGUGGCCAAACUACCCUGUGGACCAGCAUAACCUCGGGAAACUGAGGCUAAUUCUGGAUAACACCCACAUCCUGGAGUGGAGUGGGUGUGAAACGUUCCGGCGCCACAGGAUGUGGCUGCGGCCGAUUAGGUAGACGGUGGGGUAACGGCCCACCGUGCCCAUAAUCGGUACGGGUGAUGAGAGUCAGAGCCCGGAGACGGUAUCUGAGACAAGAUACCGGGCCCUACGGGGCGCAGCAGGCGCGAAACCUUUACACUGCACGAGAGUGCGAUAGGGGGACCCCGAGUGCGAGGGCAUACAGUCCUCGCUUUUCACCACUGUAAGGUGGUGGUGGAAUAAGUGCUGGGCAAGACCGGUGCCAGCCGCCGCGGUAAUACCGGCAGCACGAGUGAUGGCCGAUUUUAUUGGGCCUAAAGCGUCCGUAGCCGGCCAGACAGGUCCAUCGGGAAAUCUGCACGCCCAACGUGCAGGCGUCCGGUGGAAACCAGCUGGCUUGGGGCCGGAAGAUCCAGGGGGUACGUCCGGGGUAGGAGUGAAAUCCCGUAAUCCCGGACGGACCGCCGGUGGCGAAAGCGCCCUGGAAGGACGGACCCGACGGUGAGG
rnacentral:rRNA from 1 species